rnacentral:rRNA from 1 species
UUUGUCUGUAUGGCAAAUGUGAGAUGCAGUGUAUGGAAUGUCAAAUUUCUAGUAUGAGAAGUUAACGAUUUAAGUCCUUCUUAAAUGAGGCCAUUUACCCAUAGAGGGUGCCAGGCCCGUAUAACGUUAAUGAUUAUUAGAUGACAUUUCCAAAGAGUCGUGUUGCUUGAUAGUGCAGCACUAAGUGGGUGGUAAACUCCAUCUAAAACUAAAUAUAACCAUGAGACCGAUAGUAAACAAGUACCGUGAGGGAAAGUUGAAAAGAACUCUGAAUAGAGAGUUAAAUAGUACGUGAAACUGCUUAGAGGUUAAGCCCGAUGAACCUGAAUAUCCAAUAUAGAAAAUUCAUCAUUAUGAUUUUAAUAUAUUAUAAUAAUGGUGUGCAUUUUUUCUAUAACGGACAUUGUAAUCUAUUAACAUAAAGAAUUUAUUAUAAGAUCAGCGUAAGUUUAUUCAAAUUAUUUUGCUUGCAAUUUAACAUAGAAUAAAUGCUCUUGAUUUGAUAAAGUGUUGAUAGAUUUGAUAUAUAGUGCUUAAAUAAUAUUUUAUAAUAGCAAAAAUUAUAGAUUUUAGUGUUUAUUAUAUGCACUUAUAUGAUUAACAAUGCGAAAGAUUCAGGAUACCUUCGGGACCCGUCUUGAAACACGGACCAAGGAGUCUAACAUAUUUGCAAGUUAUUGGGUGAAACCUAAAAGCGAAAUUAACAUAACAUAAUGGGAUUAGUUUUUUAGCCUAUUAAUUCAAUCCCGGGGCGUUCUAUACAGUUAUGUAUAAUAAUAUUUAUAUUAUUUAUACCUCUAACUAGAGCGUACCUUGAGCAUAUAUGCUGUGACCCGAAAGAUGGUGAACUAUACUUGAUCAGGUUGAAGUCAGGGGAAACCCUGAUGGAAGACCGAAACAGUUCUGACGUGCAAAUCGAUUGUCAGAAUUGAGUAUAGGGGCGAAAGACCAAUCGAACCAUCUAGUAGCUGGUUCCCUCCGAAGUUUCCCUCAGGAUAGCUGGUGCAUUUAAAAAUUGUUUAAAAUAAUCUUAUCUGGUAAAGCGAAUGAUUAGAGGCCUUAGGGUCGAAACGAUCUUAACCUAUUCUCAAACUUUAAAUGGGUAAGAACCUCACCUUUCUUGGUAUGAAGGUUGUGGUUGUGAUAUAAUGUGCCCAGUGGGCCACUUUUGGUAAGCAGAACUGGCGCUGUGGGAUGAACCAAACGUAAUGUUACGGUGCCCAAAUUAACAACUCAUGCAGAUACCAUGAAAGGCGUU